rnacentral:misc_RNA from 1 species
UGAACAUCUCAAAAUCAUUCUCUGGUUUUGGAAAGUUGGGCUUUCCUGUUGUGUGAUAAAAAUAUCACAACUAGCCUGAAAUUUGUGUAAACAAAUGCAAGAAAAACAAGUGGAUGCUUUGUUGCAAAAGACGAAAAGCUUAUUAGUUGACCGUGGUCAAAUUUGCUGACUAGUCUUCAAAACUAAAGCAAACCUGCUUCACA